rnacentral:rRNA from 1 species
UACGUAGGGGGGCAAGCGUUGUCCGGAAUCAUUGGGCGUAAAGAGCGUGUAGGCGGCCCGAUAAGUCCGCUGUGAAAGUCCAGGGCUCAACCCUGGGAUGCCGGUGGAUACUGUCGGGCUCGAGUCCGGAAGAGGAGUGUGGAAUUCCUGGUGUAGCGGUGAAAUUCGUAGAUAUCAAGCGGAACACCGGUGGCGAAGGCGGCUACCUGGACCGGUACUGACGCUG